GUGAGUAACACGUGGGUAAUCUGCCCUUGAGUUUGGGAUAACCGCGAAAGCGGGGCUAAUACCGAAUAAGACCACGGGGACCAAAGUCCCUGAGGUAAAAGGUGGCCUCUAUUUAUAAGCUACCACUUGAGGAUGAGCCCGCGGCCCAUUAGCUAGUUGGCAGGGUAACGGCCUACCAAGGCGAUGAUGGGUAGCUGGUCUGAGAGGACGAUCAGCCACACUGGAACUGAGACACGGUCCAGACUCCUACGGGAGGCAGCAGUGGGGAAUAUUGCGCAAUGGGCGAAAGCCUGACGCAGCAACGCCGCGUGGGGGAUGAAGGUUCUCGGAUUGUAAACCCCUUUCGACCGGAACGAAUCCCCUCCUGGUAAAUAAUCAGGAGGAUCGACGGUACCGGGAGAAGAAACCACGGCUAACUCUGUGCCAGCAGCCGCGGUAAGACAGAGGUGGCGAGCGUUGUUCGGAUUUAUUGGGCGUAAAGCGAACGCAGGUGGUUUGGUAAGUCAGGGGUGAAAGCCCACAGCUUAACUGUGCACUGCCUUUGAUACUGCCUUUCUAGAGUGCAUGAGGGGGAAGCGGAAUUCCGAGUGUAGAGGUGAAAAUCGAAGAUAUUCGGAGGAACCCUAAGAACAACGAUUUCUCAUGGCAGU
rnacentral:rRNA from 1 species